rnacentral:rRNA from 1 species
AGCGAACGUUAGCGGCGCGCCUAACACAUGCAAGUCGCACGAGAAAGGGCUUCGGCCCCGGUAAAGUGGCGCACGGGUGAGUAACACGUGGGCAACCUGCCCAACCCUGGGGGAUAACCUGCCGAAAGGCGGGCUAAUACCGCGUACGAGGGCUCGACCUCGGUCGGGUUCUGAAAGCAGGCCUCUGUACACAAGCUUGCGGGGUUGGAUGGGACCGCGGUCCAUCAGCUAUUUGGUGAGGUAAUGGCUCACCAAGGCUACGACGGAUAGCUGGUCUGAGAGGAGGAUCAGCCACACUGGAACUGAGACACGGUCCAGACUCCUACGGGAGGCAGCAGUGGGGGAUCUUGCGCAAUGGACGAAAGUCUGACGCAGCGACGCCGCGUGGGUGACGAAGGCCUUCGGGUUGUAAAGCCCUGUGGGGCGAGACGAACAGCUUCUGGUCAAAUAGGCCAGGGGUCUGACGGUAUCGCCUUAGCAAGCACCGGCUAACUCUGUGCCAGCCGCCGCUGUAACAC